GUGGUGGGAGAGGUGACAGAAACAGGUGUACUGCUGGCUUUAGUGGUGGCAGAGGUGACAGAAACAGGUGUACUGCUGGCUUUAGUGGUGGCAGAGGUGACAGAAACAGGUGUACUGCUGGCUGUAGUGGUGGCAGAGGUGACAGAAACAGGUGUACUGCUGGCUGUAGUGGUGGCAGAGGUAACUGAAAGAGAAUUAUCUUAGGUUGCAUCAAAACACAAUAAUCAAAAGUCAGUCCAUGCUGUCAGGGUACUAUUUAAUUAUUAC